rnacentral:lncRNA from 1 species
CUAGCUUGGGAUAGCUAGGGUCGGAGUUUCCGACGUUGUGUAUUCAGGUUGAAUACAAGCAUAGUGGAUUGAAAUUCCCAAGUAGGAUCUUGGGGAGUGGAUGUAGGUGCAAGGUUAGCACCGAACCACUAUAAAUCCUUGUGUUUGUGGUGUGCUUUAUCGCUUCACUUUAUUUCUUUAUUAUAUUCUUGCUUUCCUGCUUU